GUAACAAGGUUUCCGUAGGUGAACCUGCGGAAGGAUCAUUACCAUAUUAUCAUCGGGGGGCUCUAGCUAGCCCUGUCUGAACCCUUGUCUUUUUGAGUACUUGUUGUUUCCUCGGCGGCUUAGCCCGCCAGCAGGACACUAUAACACCCCUUGUAAUUGCAAUCAGCGUCAGAAAAUAAACAAUAGUUACAACUUUCAACAACGGAUCUCUUGGUUCUGGCAUCGAUGAAGAACGCAGCGAAAUGCGAAAAGUAGUGUGAAUUGCAGAAUUCAGUGAAUCAUCGAAUCUUUGAACGCACAUUGCGCCCCUUGGUAUUCCAUGGGGCAUGCCUGUUCGAGCGUCAUUUGUACCCUCAAGCACUGCUUGGUGUUGGGUGUUUGUCCCCGUCCUUUGUGCGUGGACUCGCCUUAAAGCCAUUGGCAGCCGGCGUGUUAGCCUUGGAGCGCAGCACAAUUUGCGCCUCUUGACUAGCAUACUGGUGUCCAGUAAGCAUAAACUCUUUGCUCUUGACCUCGAAUCAGGUAGGGAUACCCGCUGAACUUAAGCAUAUCAAUAA
rnacentral:misc_RNA from 1 species